UGACCUGGCGGCAGGCUUACACAUGCAAGUCGAACGGUAGCAGGAGGAAGCUUGCUUUCUUGCUGACGAGUGGCGGACGGGUGAGUAAUGCUUGGGAAUCUGGCUUAUGGAGGGGGAUAACUACUGGAAACGGUAGCUAAUACCGCGUAAUAUCGAGAGAUUAAAGGGUGGGACUUUCGGGCCACCUGCCAUAAGAUGAGCCCAAGUGGGAUUAGGUAGUUGGUGGGGUAAAGGCCUACCAAGCCUGCGAUCUCUAGCUGGCCUGAGAGGAUGGCCAGCCACACUGGAACUGAGACACGGUCCAGACUCCUACGGGAGGCAGCAGUGGGGAAUAUUGCACAAUGGGGGGAACCCUGAUGCAGCCAUGCCGCGUGAAUGAAGAAGGCCUUCGGGUUGUAAAGUUCUUUCGGUGAUGAGGAAGGCAGGUAUUUUAAUAGAAUACUUGAUUGGCGUUAGUCACAGAAGAAGCACCGGCUAACUCCGUGCCAGCAGCCGCGGUAAU
rnacentral:rRNA from 1 species